UUUAGUAAAGUAGCUAAUAAAAAGUAAGGACACGAGCAACUGAGCACCCUGCGAUUAUCUGUCAAAAAAUGAGCACCCUUGUUUGAGCACCGCAAACUUUUAUGCACACGCAUGACUUUUGCAUUAUUAUGAUUCUUUAGUCUGGUCAGGUCGGGAGAAGGCAUCGUCUGUGCACAUUCUCGACAUUUUCGGAACGGGUUCCCGCAGCAGUACAAAUUAGAAAUGCUCCUCGAGGUGGAUCAACGGCCGUUGCGGAUAAUUCUGCCUCACCUGACAGGACCACGAUCCUCUGCCUCGGUACAUUUGCGUCGGGGGCUGCGCUGCGAUGGUGCCCAAAAGCAAAACAUCGGAAAACCAUCCCCGCGGUCAACAUUUCCGGCAGGCUCACUAGCAGGCAAAUAACAUAACGAUACCGGUGAUCGCGGCCGUGCAUUCGGUGCACGGAACUCCGUACGGUUGUCGCACCUCGGCAUUGAAUCUGCAAGUUCCUAUACACUUGGCAAACCUCGAUUCAAUGCAUUAUGCCUACUUCCCUGACUAAUUCCGGGUGAUUCGUGCCAAUGCAACAAGAAUCGAAAAGUCGAAAAAAUAUUUAAAAAAAUAUCAUUAAAACAAAAUCCUAACAAUUAAUUAGUUUUUAAGUUUAUUUAGCAUCAUCUCCCCGCAAAAAUGGCCAUAUUCUCUUCCAAUUUCCACCGGUUGAGAAACACUGAUCCGGAUCAUCGUUCCAAAAUUAUUUGUUGUCUAGAAAAAUUUAUUUAUUUUUUGCAUUAAAAUGAAAAAAAAGUAAUCCGAAAUAGUUUCAAUCGUGUUUUUUAUCGUUGUACUUAAAAAUUGACAUAAAGCUAACUAAAUUAAAUACCUUCGCUAGCAGUGCUUUGCAAAUGA